AGAGCAACCAACACUUAUUCAAAGCAUUUAUGGUGAAUAAUAAUUUAUAUGUUGAGCGUACACCCAGUGAAUGUUCAGCGACCUGUGGUCUGAGUUCAAAUGUAAGGCAGUUUUUUAACAGAAGUAUUAUUGAGUCUGUGGUUUUUGGAAUAACUAUUACGGAACGAUUGAUUGAUUGUGUUAACAAGAGCCUAUUCCAGCAUCUUGUUGGGCAAGAAGCAGGUACACAACUGACUGUCAGUUCAUAAGCUGCUCUCUUGUCUCUCUCCUAUCAGCUUGGUGGAUCAGUAGGAGGCCUCCAGUUUUAUUUCUCUCUCCUCUAUGAGGAAGGAGAGGAAAUGGAAGGUGGCUGCAUGCACAGGAAGUCCAGAGGGAGGUUCCACUCUCUUCCUGGUUACCCACAAUGCUCAUUGGUCAAUGGGGUGGUCAACUUCUUCCUGGCUCGUACAGAUGCCGCUCAGAGGGUGGGAUUCGACCCUCAGCUCAAGAGGGUAGCACACUCAGAGUUCUUCAUGGAUGGCCUGGGCUCCUUGAUGGUGGCAUCAUGUGGCCACGUGUCCAUUGGACAUCAGAAAAAAAAUUAGCGUGCCGCGCUACCGUGGGUUCAGACACCCUCCAAAGAGUGACAGCGACUCAAAGCUGCAGCUUCACUUCUUCAAAAACCACCUGAAGUGUAUCCUCUAUGGUUAGGAAACCACCAGAGGAAAUGUGUCUCAUUCUCCUGCAGAGAGAUAAAAUGGCAAUAGUGCAUAUACAAAUAUCAAUAACACAAGAAACACUUUUCUUUACUCGACAAAGUUUCUGUCUGUAGAUUAACGUGUCAGUUAGAGCAGCACUGUGACUGCUAGGAUACGACCGGCAUGAUGAACUGGAACACAGUAAUGUGUCUUAGAAUGGGAGGUAACUUCUUCUCUCAAGAAAAAAAUACAUUUACUAGAAUCUGGAAGACAAUGUCAGGUUUACAAAAAGGGGGGGGGGGAUGCCAGAUGAUUGUACAGAUUGACCUCUGAUAAUGUGUUCAAUAGUUUCCAGUUAAAGAAAGUGUUUUGUGUGUGUGCCUAAAGACAGUGAGCAGUAUCUCUGUGACACAUUGCUUUUGCUGAAGAUCCAGAAUAAAGUUUGCGCCUCAGCUCCUUCUUGUCCUUUGUCCCUGUGCAGGAUUCUCAGCUGGUUAUAAACAGAGUUGGCUGUACCACUUUACAAAAGUGACAAUAAUGUAUUACUUGUUGCUGUAAUGCAGUAAUAAAAAGCAUUACUAAUGACAUGUUGGUAAUAUUAUACCCGCUACAAUUCUCAGUAUAGCGCACAUUUUAUCCCGAAAUGACGUGGUGUAUUGUUUUUUAAGAAUUCACGAGAGUAGUGACUCAUUUUAUUUACUUUUGUUUCCCGAGAAGUUAAGAGACUCGUGGCAGAGUGUUGAAGAUAACACACGACACACGGCAGCAUUAGCUCACCAAUGACCAGGUGAGCUAACGCUGCAUAGAGACUGGAUCCUAUCCAGCAGGUCACAGGGCCGUGCAGAGGCUCCACUCACAUGUUAUUAAUGACACACAGAGACGUCACGGUACCGGUAUCACAUAUUAUGCAGCCCACUGAAACGGAGCAGGAGUUUAACCUCUAGCUCUUCCCUAAUGUUCAGCAUGUACUGCCAGAUAGAGAGCUUUAGUUACUGAGCUGCAGUAAACUACAUGUUAGCAUUUAAAGCCAAACUUUAGAGGUUAUUCUGGUGAGAGUGACUCAGAGUAACUCAGAGUAGAGUAACGCAUCACAGUUCAGAGACAGUGAUGAUGUAAUGUCCCUUAUUACGUCCCUUAAUGUCAUGUGACCAUGCAGUAGUUCCACUAUAGCCCAACAUUAGCCUCCUUUAGCUUAGCGGUGGUGACGUGAAGUCAUGUGACCGUGCUGUAGUUCCUUUAUAGCCCAACAUUAGCCUCCUUUAGCUUAGCGGUGGAGACGUGAAGUCAUGUGACCGUGCUGUAGUUCCUCUAUAGCCCAACAUUAGCCGCCUUUAGCUUAGCGGUGGAGACGUGAAGUCAUGUGACUGUGCUGUAGUUCCUUUAUAGCCCAAUGUGGCGUCAAACAAGUGUGAGCAUAGGACCAGCAUCUGUGGAGGAACUCCAGGCCUGAAGGGGGCAGAGAGAGCUCACCCAGACACUCAAUAGACAGGAUGCAACCCAUGUUUCUGGAGGGACCGAUUUCACCUGCGCACCUCUAAUCAAGCAUGAGUAUAACAUGUUUGGAGUUAGCUCGGCCCCUCUUUGCUCGGUCUCCUCAGCUUACUGACAGCUCAUGUUCAACCACAGACGCAACUGGUUAUCAACCUAUUCUUCCUCUGGAAUUUCACUUUGUGCCAUCAAUCUGAAAGAAAAUAAAUCACCAGAACGGAA